GCCGGUGCGGAGCUGCUUGCUGCUCCUUUCCGCUUGCUGCACAGCAAGUUUUCGCCCGUCCCCGGUGCUGCGCUGCCGAGGGAAGAGCUCGGCUCUGCCGGCCGCCGCUCGCCGGGCUGAGGGGCUGGGGGUUGGCGCUGCUGCUCCCCUCGGUACGGCUUUCCCCGCCUCGGGUCCAGUGCUGCCCGAGGACGCCGGCGCCCCGUAUCGAACCGAGGAUACCCCGCCCCGCCGUGGCGAUCGGCCCCGCCGGGCCGGGGGGAAGGCGGCGAGAGUCUACGGCCGGCAGCGCCGCCGCGGCGGGGCCCCGGGAGCGGCCAGGGACGCCUCUGCUCGCGCUUUGAACCCCUGCGCAUUGAAAACCUGUGGAAACAGAGGUGACUCCUGUCUGCAGCGGGGAAGCUGCCCUGAGGGGUGAAGGGAUUAAUCUAGCUGAGGUAACACCAGGAGCCUGCGGAGGAUCAGAAAAACAAAUCCUGGUUUGCAGUCAUCCCAGCGCUUGAUCUAGCCGCAGGACCAUCAUUCUUGCUCUUACAACGAGCACGUGUUCCUAAGUACCUGGGUAUUCAAGGGCAGAAGUGAAUGCUCAGAACUGUUUGGAUUAAGAUUACACUUGCCAUGUUUAUUUGCAAGUGAGACCUCAUCAGAGAGAAUCAAAAUGAAAAAAUGGAAUUAGUUCAUCAAUGAAUGGGGACGAGCUGAGAAAAAACUACUGUGGAGCUCACAGAAGAACAUGGAAAACAUCAAAAGAGGGCUGCUUAGUCUGCCUGGAGAACAAGUAAAUUACACAUGCCCCUAUCACAGCCACUCCAGUCACCAUGGCUACCAGGAGAGGGUAGGAAGAAGUAGUGAAGAUACAGGCAAUGAUCAGAAGGUAGCCGUACAAUGGAUUUCAGUCUCUUCGUUGGGAAUUGCUCCUGAAGUGGAAGUGUCCAAGACGUGAAUGUCUGAAUGUUUUAGUGCAACCCACAUUUGCUGAUCACAGCUGGGUUCAAUGGCAGCUGCCAAAUGUGGUUACAACUAUGAAGGGAUGUUGGCAGGCAGGAGAUGCCACCCUGGGCUCACUUCCAGCCUAAGGGAAAAAGUUCCAUGAGCUGAAUGGGCUUUCUAGCUAUGUGGCAAAUGCAGACUGAGCCCAGAGUGAAGAUUUUUUUUUUUUUUAAUAUUGUUGAAAUAGCUUUCCCUUAUGCCUUCAUCACCACAAAUAAUACAUAAAUAAAAAUAAAACUCUUUUCAAAGUGCUAACGAUCAAUAUUUUAUAAUUUGCUUAUUAGAAACUGUUUAAGUCCUUUAACAGAUUAAAAAAAACAAUUGUGAAUUAAACCCUAAAUUAGAAUUACAAGGAUAAGCUUCAGUCUUUAAGCCAUUGUUUUGGUUUCUAUUUUGGUGGCAAUGCAAUAAUAGUAGAAUAAUAACAGCAUAAUAAAAACUCAAGUGCUCUGAGCUUGCAUUGCAAAUACUUUUUAUUUUACUCUGGGACAUCUUUAAGAGCUCUUGGAUAUUACUUCUUAUUUUGGUAAAGAAGUUAGAAGUCAUAUUUUUUGCCUCUAACAUCUGCAAUUCAUCUAGUAUUGAUUCACAAAUAUAUAUUCUUUUUAUAAGUAAUAGUACAGAUAUUUUUGAAGACAUUUACAAUCUUGUUUGAAAGUUAUCCUGAAAGACUAAGUACAGAUAGUGUUUACAGCCAUUCUAUGCUUUAUUGCCACAAAUAGCCAUAUGACCCAAUUUGCACUAGGAAUGUUUAUAAAGGCUGUGUCUACUGUUAACUGAAGGAAGUCUCUUCCCCCUCAAAUGGCCUCAAUGGGAGCAAGUUUUAAGGGCAGACUUUUUCACUGGAAAUCACUUGUUUACAAAAUACUUCAUUCUUUUGUACAAAACAAUUCCAAACUUAAUUUUACUCCUGCAGAGUCAGAAAUAACAGUCUUGGGAUUCAGCGGUAAGAAGUAUUGAUAAACUACUAAAAAUCAGCAGCACAAAACUUCAAAUAGUCGUGCUAAAAGGUAGAGUAAAAAGGUAUUGGCACAUCAGUUUACAAAUUCCAAGGUAUGCAACUAUUAUUGUGAAAGGAUAAAAAGAUUAACAGUCUGUGGAUUGCCAGAGAACACAAAACACUGUCAACAUUUGAGCUGGCACAAUGGUUGAAUCAUACCCAUGGUGAUUCCCUUAUAGUGGAGAUGACCUUUUUUCUUUUUUUUUUAUUUUUUAUUUUUUUUGCCACUAGAGGUAGGUAAUUAUAUUCUCAGACAUAAAUUUGUGGUCAUAUUCAACCAUAUUUUUUUUUCUGGAAUAGUGUUGGUACUUUUACAAUACAGAAGUUUAGAUGUAGGCUUCUUUGUUUGCAGUGUUGCUCUGUUGGGCCUGGUCUGGCCCGUUUUCAGGAUGAGUGAUGUCUUCACUUGGCUGAAUCAUUACUUGGAUGCGCUGUUUGAAGAACAACAAUAAAUGUGAGGCAGUCAAAAAAUUGUUUCAAGGCUUCCUUUUUUCUUAAAGGCAAUCCUGAACACGAAGGGCCACCAAGAUGCUCAGAGGACUGGGAAGCCUGCCCUGUGAGGAUAGGCUGGGAGAACUGGGUUUGUUCAGCCUUGAGAAAAGGAGGCUCAGAGGGGCUCUCAUCACCGUGUACCAGUACUUAAGGGGCAGCUACAAAGAAGAUGGAGACUCCCUUUUUACAAGGAGUCACACGGAAAGGACAGGGGGAAUGGACACAAGUUGCUCUUGGGGAGAUUCCGAUUGGACACAAGAGGGAAAUUUUUCACAGUGAGGACAGUCAACCAUUGGAAUAAUCUCUCCAGGGAAGUGGUUGACUCGGCCAUGUUGGACACCUUCAGGAGUCAUCUGGACAAGGUGCUGGGCCAUCUUGUUUAGACUGUGCUCUUCCUAAAAAGGUUGGUCUAGAUGGUCCCUGAGGUCCCUUCCAACCUGUGAUUCUGUGAUUCUAUCUAGGCAUUAGAGCUAAACUGAAAAAAUUCUCUCUGUCUCCCAAGGGACUAUAAAGGCAAUAAGUCAUAUAUACUAAAACCAGUUUUAGCUGUGUUCUGAACAUGAGACUAGGCGUUGAAAGACCACAUGCAAAACAGUACAUGCCAUCAGGCAUUAGCAGCUGAACAUGCAUAGGGGAAAGAAAUGAGAGACUGGUGCGUGGGGCAGGUGAGGAGAGGCUCUGCUGCAAGCCCACAGGUCAAGCAUCAAGGCUGCAAGUUUGCAGUGGGUAACAGGAAGUCAAAGCUGGAUCUCAGAUGCAAUGGUGACCCUCCUCAGGGAGCAGAAGGGACUGGAGAGUAUUGGCUGCAGCUUCUGGGAGUUACUACCUUCAAGGAUACCACUGGUGUAAGGAGCUGGGAUGCAAAGUGUUUGGAACUGUCAAAGCCCAGAGAUAAGGACAACAUUUAAUGACAGUACAGGCAGUGUCUUGUCUUUUGUCUGUUUGGUACUUGUUUUUCAGCUCAAUGCAAAAUAACUGGGCUAAGCAAGUGAGGCCACAGGAAAGAUAUCAUAGAAAAUAGUUGCCCAGCAAUCAGUGUGCACAGGUCUUGCAAGAUAAAAUCAGUCUGAAGAAACAGAGACUUACCUGUUUU